UACGUAGGUGGCAAGCGUUGUCCGGAUUUACUGGGCAUAAAGAGCGCGCAGGCGGUCGUUCAAGUCGCGUGUGAAAGCCCCCGGCUCAACUGGGGAGGGUCACGCGAUACUGAUCGACUGGAAGGCAGGAGAGGGUAGUGGAAUUCCCGGUGUAGUGGUGAAAUGCGUAGAUAUCGGGAGGAACACCAGUGGCGAAGGCGACUACCUGGCCUGUUCUUGACGCUGAGGCGCGAAAGCUAGGGGAGCAAACGGG
rnacentral:rRNA from 1 species